rnacentral:rRNA from 1 species
UUCCGGUUGAUCCUGCCGGACCCGACUGCUAUUUGGGUGAGAAUAAGCCAUGCGAGUUGAAUGGGAUACCUAAAGUUCCCAUAGCAAACUGCUCAGUAACACAUGAUCAACUUACCCUAUAGAGAAAAAUAACCUCGGGAAACUGAGGAUAAUGUUUCAUAAUUGAAUUGGCUUGGAAAAGUUUUUCAAUGAAAAGGAUAAAAAAAAUGGUUUUUAUCUGCUAUAGGAUAGGAUCGUGUUCGAUUAUGGUUGUUGGUGAGAUAAUGGCUCACCAAGCCGAUAAUCGAUAGGGGCCGUGAGAGCGGGAGCCCCGAGAUGGGUACUGAGACAACGACCCAGGCCUUACGAGGCGCAGCAGGCGCGGAACCUCCGCAAUACACGAAAGUGUGACGGGGUUACCCAAAGUGUUCAAUAGAACUGUGGUAGGUGAGUAAUGUCCCCUACUAGAAAGGAGAGGGCAAGGCUGGUGCCAGCCGCCGCGGUAAAACCAGCUCUUCAAGUGGUCGGGAUAAUUAUUGGGCUUAAAGUGUCCGUAGCCGGUUUAGUAAGUUCCUGGUAAAAUCGGGUAGCUUAACUAUCUGCAUGCUAGGAAUACUGCUAUACUAGAGGGCGGGAGAGGUCUGAGGUACUACAGGGGUAGGGGUGAAAUCUUAUAAUCCUUGUAGGACCACCAGUGGCGAAGGCGUCAGACUGGAACGCGCCUGACGGUGAGGGACGAAAGCCAGGGGAGCGAACCGGAUUAGAUACCCGGGUAGUCCUGGCCGUAAACGAUGCAUACUAGGUGAUGGUACGGCCAUGAGCCGUAUCAGUGCCGUAGGGAAACCGUUAAGUGUGCCGCCUGGGAAGUACGGUCGCAAGGCUAAAACUUAAAGGAAUUGGCGGGGGAGCACCACAAGGGUGAAGCCUGCGGUUCAAUUGGAUUCAACGCCGGGAAUCACUAGUGCGGCCGC